rnacentral:rRNA from 1 species
CAGAGGGGGCAAGCGUUGUUCGGAAUUACUGGGCGUAAAGGGCGCGUAGGCGGCCUUCUAAGUCAGACGUGAAAUCCCCGGGCUCAACCCGGGAACUGCGUCUGAUACUGGAAGGCUUGAAUCCGGGAGAGGGAUGUGGAAUUCCAGGUGUAGCGGUGAAAUGCGUAGAUAUCUGGAGGAACACCGGUGGCGAAGGCGGCAUCCUGGACCGGUAUUGACGCUGAGGCGCGAAAGCCAGGGGAGCAAACGGGAUUAGAUACCCCGGUAGUCCUGGCCCUAAACGAUGAAUGCUUGGUGUGGCGGGUAUCGAUCCCUGCCGUGCCGAAGCUAACGCAUUAAGCAUUCCGCCUGGGGAGUACGGUCGCAAGGCUG